CCCCAGCUUCACAGAAACACGGACCCCAAAGGUCGCUGCUUGAGGCUGUAGUGCUGUGCAGCAAGCUAAGCAGUGGAGCUGAGACCUUUCUGAUAAUAUGAGAUCAAGUAGCUGUCAAGACAUGUUGGGCAGAUAUCUACAAAAACAAUGAUAUCUAAAGAUCCACAACAAAAAGGAAAAAUUUGGAAAGUCUUCAGUCAGCUCCCAGCAGCUGCAAAUUUUGCUUUGGAUGAAAUAAUGAACCCAUCUAAGGGUCUCUCUCUGAAAACAGUCUCGCCGAGUUAUACUUGUCAGAAGUUGUAUUUGGCUUCUCACUUUGAUAUAGUCCCAAAAAAGGAAUUGGAACAAGCAUCUAGAACUGGAUAAUGGGGCAUUUCUGGACACGUCUGUUUUGGAGAAGGAAGUCCUGCACUUUAGGUGAUAUGGCUGCAGGAGGGUCACUCCCAAAUAUAAAGUCAAAGGUAUGCAGAAGGUGAAGAGAGAGGACAGAGCGCACCUUCUGUGCCACAUGGCAGCACCUGGGUGUUGGAACCACUGUCUACAUGUUAUGGAAGAGAAGGAAAAAAUGAGCAAAUAAAGUGGCGGGUGAAAAACACAUUGAUACCCAAGUACAAUAGCAGUGGUGAUGUUUGCGUACUACACACAUUCUGCUACCGAGACUUCAGCCAUGCCCUCUGUAUCUAUUGGCAUCAUUUCAUGUGUUUCCAUGCAUGAAUUUUUGCUGUGAUAUACAUUUUAAACAAUACCGUUUCCCUGUUUCUGUA